rnacentral:rRNA from 1 species
AUGGCGGAGGAACCGUCCACCAAGCGUCAUCAUGCCGAGACGUCGGACAAGAGGAGCAACCUCGUCGACAUUAACGUCCCCGGCGAGAAGCGCGAGUACACCAGAACGCUCAAAGGGGUUGAGCUCCACGGCAAGGAGACGCUGGAGAUCGUCUGCACCAGCGAACCAGACAAGGCCGACGAGAUGAUGAGUAGGCUCAGGAUGAAGGGCGGCGGCUUGUAUCCGAGCUUCAUCGGAGUUGAUGUGGAGCCCAAGCGCCUCAAAGACUUCCUGCGGGAGGAGAAAUUGUACACAUUUUUUGGUUUCAGCAUUGGAGGUGACAAGCGGAUGCUGCAGGAGUCUGGUUUGGAAAUCAACCCCAACAACUUCAUCGACAUGCAGCGCAAGUGGAAAGAUCCAAAGACUAGAAAAUACUACGACUCCUUGGACGAUGUUGCAGGCGGCAUCAUCCACCCAUUCUACGAAGGCAUGAAGAAGAAGAUGAACAGGGCAGACCACAAACUAUGGGGGAACAGCCCGCUGCCAGACAACCUCAUCACGUACGCAGGAAUAGAUGCGUACGCAACGUACAAGUCAUGGAAGACAAUCGACAAUAUCGUGACAGGUUGGGAUAUUUCAAAAGAGCAGGAGGCUGACCCCUACCACCACUGCAACUUCGCGGAUGAAGAAGCAUGA